rnacentral:rRNA from 1 species
UACGAAGGGGGCUAGCGUUGCUCGGAAUCACUGGGCGUAAAGCGCACGUAGGCGGAUCUUUAAGUCAGGGGUGAAAUCCCGGAGCUCAACUCCGGAACUGCCUUUGAUACUGGAGAUCUGAGUCCGGGAGAGGUGAGUGGAACUGCGAGUGUAGAGGUGAAAUUCGUAGAUAUUCGCAAGAACACCAGCGGCGAAGGCGGCGCUCUGGGCCGGUACUGACACUGAGGAGCGAAAGCGUGGGUAGC